rnacentral:rRNA from 1 species
UACGGGGGGGGGCAAGCGUUGUUCGGAAUUACUGGGCGUAAAGGGCUCGUAGGCGGCCAACUAAGUCGGAUGUGAAAUCCCCAGGCUUAACCUGGGAACUGCAUCCGAUACUGGAUGGCUUGAAUCCGGGAGAGGGAUGCGGAAUUCCAGGUGUAGCGGUGAAAUGCGUAGAUAUCUGGAGGAACAUCAGUGGCGAAGGCGACUUCCUGGACCAAUACUGACGCUCAGGUGCGAAAGCGUGGGGAGCAAACAGGAUUGAG